GGCUCAGUGGUAGAGUGCUUGCCUUGUAUGCAUGAAGCCCUGGGUUCGAUUCCUCAG
rfam:Dipodomys ordii contig_3906, whole genome shotgun sequence.